UAAUCCCAUGGAUGAGUGGAACCGCUGGAACAGAGGGAGCCGUGUAGCAUGGAGCGACGCCGGUUUGCAAAUUGUCACACAGACAGACUGAUCCAGCCUUGCUGACAAAUUGGACUUUUGUGUGACCAAUGUUCUGUGUCUUUGUGGGGUUUUACAGUCAUUGCGGCACGCUGCUUGUGAAGACAUAUGUUCUUCCAGUUUUCUUCAAGAGGAUAAUGCCAUGAGGCUGUUCCAUUUCUGUCAGCUUUGGACAUGGAUCAGUGGCUUUGUGUUUUCCCAUCACCACAAAGAUGAAUAAACAACACGGAAAAGAGAUGUGGAAGAUGACAGACACAAGAGAAU